ensembl:lncRNA
CAGUUAGUUAAUAAGAAUACUUAAAAAAGUAUUUAUCACACCAAUUUAUAUCUGACGUUUGUGGUUUUAGACAUUAAAAUGUAAACAGUAUUCGUGUAGUUGUCAUACAUUGUUAAAUAACAAAAACGUGGAGGACACCACCACCAGCUUUUAACUGACGAAAGCUGACUACAAAGAUCUGCAAAUGGCAGACCCAGAGACACCCCGGUCAGACAAGUCCUCAGGCAAGUCCAAGAGCUCCAGCUCGAAAGUAAGCAAAAUGGGCAACGACCAGAGCACCACCCAAGCUUCUGGGGACACCCAGCCUGAAGACCUGAAAACACAGCCUGGAGAGGAGAGCCAAGAGGGAAUCAGCCUUGGAACGCCUGUGACCAAUGAAGAAGUGGAUACGUAUACCAUAGGCCUGGUAUAAACAUCAUUGUGUUUCCCUGUAGAAGAAGUCCUGUCAACUGGAA